rnacentral:lncRNA from 1 species
AAGAAGUAGCUUUCAUUUCUGAUCAAAUGAAAAAUAAAAUAAAGUAGAUGAACCAAGUUCAGAACUGGCUUACGUCAUGUGCCUUCUGAAAAACCACUGUUAUUCUAACAUGGUAAUAUCUGAAAAGAAAAGACAAGUAGGCGUGGAAGAAGCAGCCACCCAGAUUCUAUUUCCUGGUCCUGGCCACCAGUCAGAGUAUUGUGCUGUGAUUGGGCAGAAUUGCCUCCUUGCCCAAGUGAGUGUGAGGACACAGGCCCAGAGGAGCCAGGAGGGAGAACCAGCCCCCAGGAAAGGAAACCUCUCACUUGCCAAGAUGGGUCAAGAACUAUCUGCAUUAAGUUUAUCUGUGGCAGCUCCUGGAGUUUCUGCAUCACUGAUAUGCUCAGGACCUGUCACGUGGCUUAUUGGGGCAGGGGUGAUUGUGGCUGUCACCGUCGUUGGUGCCGUCUAUGUGGUGAAGUACAUCAAAACGAAUACGAAGAACAGCAAUAAAAGAGACUAACAAGAUCCUAUCCUGGCCCCGGAGAAGUGAAGGCCACCCUCAGAAGAAAUGGAAUGUAAUGAAAUCUAAAUUUACAGCAAUAUAAAGUUAGAGAGCAAAAUAAGUAAAAAAUUAUGAUUGCAUUGCUACUGUGUGCCUGACUUUUUCCUAGGACCAGGCUCUGAAUUCCAGGAUUCUG